GCCUCAGUGAAGGUGUCCUGCAAAGCUCUGGAUACACCUUCGCCAGCUACGACAUUCACUGUGUGUGACAGGCCCCUGGAUAAGGGUUUGAAUGGAUGGUAGGGAGCUACUCUGGCAAUGGUAACACAGGCUAUGCACAGAAGUUUCAGGGCAGAGUCACCAUGACCAGGGACACGUCCACGAGCACAGCCUACAUGGAGCUGAGCAGUCAGAGAUCUGAGGACAUAGAUGUGUACUACUG
rnacentral:lncRNA from 1 species